rnacentral:tRNA from 1 species
UCUAAUAUGGCAGAUUAGUGCAAUGAAUUUAAGCUUCAUAUAUAAAGAAAUAAAUCUUUUAUUAGAA